AGCGAACGCUGGCGGCAGGCCUAACACAUGCAAGUCGAACGAACCUUUCGGGGUUAGUGGCGGACGGGUGAGUAACACGUGGGAACGUGCCUUUAGGUUCGGAAUAACUCAGGGAAACUUGUGCUAAUACCGAAUGUGCCCUUCGGGGGAAAGAUUUAUCGCCUUUAGAGCGGCCCACGUCUGAUUAGCUAGUUGGUUGAGGUAAUGGCUCACCAAGGCGACGAUCAGUAGCUGGUCUGAGAGGAUGAUCAGCCACAUUGGGACUGAGACACGGCCCAAACUCCUACGGGAGGCAGCAGUGGGGAAUCUUGCGCAAUGGGCGAAAGCCUGACGCAGCCAUGCCGCGUGAAUGAUGAAGGUCUUAGGAUUGUAAAAUUCUUUCACCGGGGACGAUAAUGACGGUACCCGGAGAAGAAGCCCCGGCUAACUUCGUG
rnacentral:rRNA from 1 species